rnacentral:rRNA from 1 species
ACGAAGGGUGCAAGCGUUACUCGGAAUUACUGGGCGUAAAGCGGGCGUAGGUGGUUCGACAAGUCUGAUGUGAAAGCCCUGGGCUCAACCUGGGAAUGGCAUUGGAAACUGGCGACCUAGAGUGCGGUAGAGGGUAGUGGAAUUCCCGGUGUAGCAGUGAAAUGCGUAGAGAUCGGGAGGAACAUCUGUGGCGAAGGCGACUGCCUGGACCAGCACUGACACUGAGGCACGAAAGCGUGGGGAGCAAACAGG